CGGUGGAUGAUGUGGUUUAAUUCGAUGCAACGCGAAAACCUUACCACCUUUGACAUGGCAGGAAUCCUUUAGAGAUAGAGGAGUGCUCGAAAGAGAACCUGCACACAGGUGCUGCAUGGCUGUCGUCAGCUCGUGUCGUGAGAUGUUGGGUUAAGUCCCGCAACGAGCGCAACCCUUGCCAUCAGUUGCUACGAAAGGGCACUCUGAUGGGACUGCCGGUGACAAACCGGAGGAAGGUGGGGAUGACGUCAAGUCCUCAUGGCCCUUAUAGGUGGGGCUACACACGUCAUACAAUGGCCGGUACAAAGGGCAGCAAACCCGCGAGGGGGAGCCAAUCCAUCAAAGCCGGUCGUAGUCCGGAUCGCAGUCUGCAACUCGACUGCGUGAAGUCGGAAUCGCUAGUAAUCGUGGAUCAGCAUGUCACGGUGAAUACGUUCCCGGGUCUU
rnacentral:rRNA from 1 species